GACGAACGCUGGCGGCGUGCCUAAUACAUGCAAGUAGAACGCUGAAGAGAGGAGCUUGCUCUUCUUGGAUGAGUUGCGAACGGGUGAGUAACGCGUAGGUAACCUGCCUGGUAGCGGGGGAUAACUAUUGGAAACGAUAGCUAAUACCGCAUGAUAUUGAAUAUCGCAUGAUAAUUGAUUGAAAGGUGCAAUUGCAUCACUACCAGAUGGACCUGCGUUGUAUUAGCUAGUUGGUGAGGUAACGGCUCACCAAGGCGACGAUACAUAGCCGACCUGAGAGGGUGAUCGGCCACACUGGGACUGAGACACGGCCCAGACUCCUACGGGAGGCAGCAGUAGGGAAUCUUCGGCAAUGGGGGGAACCCUGACCGAGCAACGCCGCGUGAGUGAAGAAGGUUUUCGGAUCGUAAAGCUCUGUUGUAAGAGAAGAACGGGUGUGAGAGUGGAAAGUUCACG
rnacentral:rRNA from 1 species